rnacentral:misc_RNA from 1 species
AAUGAAGUGGAUAGGAUGGUGGAAGAACAAUUGAUGGUGGAAGAACAACUGAAGGUGGAAGAACAAUUGUCUAAAUCGAUGUGGAAACAAAAGAAACAAUUGUCUACAGUAGAGGAAAAGCUUUUUCAAUUGAUGCUGGAGAGGAUAAAAGAAGCGGAUAGCAUGGAGGAAGAACAAUUGUUGAAACAAGUGAUGACAGAAGAACAAUUGUCUAAAUUUGAGUUGAAAGAAAUGGAAGAGGAAAA